UCCCUGGUGGUUCAGUGGCUUGGACUCUGCGUUCCCAAUGCAGGGGGCCUGGGUUCAAUCCCUGGUUGGGGAA
rnacentral:tRNA from 1 species